rnacentral:rRNA from 1 species
UACGGGCGGUGUGUGCAGGAGGGGAAAGCGGAAUUCCCAGUGUAGCGGUGAAAUGCGUAGAUAUUGGGAAGAACACCGGUGGCGAAGGCGGCUUUCUGGACUGUAACUGACACUGAGGCACGAAAGCGUGGGGAGCAAACAGGAUUAGAUACCCUGGUAGUCCACGCCGUAAACGAUGAGCACUAGUUGUUGGGUACGAAUGUAUUCAGUGACGCAGUUAACGCAAUAAGUGCUCCGCCUGGGGAGUACGGUGGCAACACUAAAACUCAAAGGAAUUGACGGGGACCCGCACAAGCAGCGGAGCAUGUGGUUUAAUUCGAAGCAACGCGAAAAACCUUACCAGGGCUUGACAUCCCUCUGACCGGGACUUAACCGUCCCUUUCUUCGGACAGAGGAGACAGGUGGUGCAUGGUUGUCGUCAGCUCGUGUCGUGAGAUGUUGGGUUAAGUCCCGCAACGAGCGCAACCCUUGUCGUCAGUUACUAACAUUCAGUUGAGGACUCUGACGAGACUGCCGAGGUCAACUCGGAGGAAGGUGGGGAUGACGUCAAAUCAUCAUGCCCCUUAUGUUCUGGGCUACACACGUGCUACAAUGGUCGGUACAAUGAGAGGCAAUACAGUGAUGUGGAGCAAAUCACCAAAACCGAUCCCAGUUCGGAUUGCAGGCUGCAACUCGCCUGCAUGAAGUCGGAGUUGCUAGUAAUCGCGAAUCAGCAUGUCGCGGUGAAUGCGUUCCCGGGUCUUGUACACACCGCCCGUA